GAUGAACGCUGACAGAAUGCUUAACACAUGCAAGUCUUUGGCGAAUCUGUGCUUGCACAGGCUAGCCAAGGCGGACGGGUGAGUAACGCGUAAAGAACUUGCCCUGCAGACAGGGAUAACAGACGGAAACGACUGAUAACACCUGAUACAGUUGCCGGCACGCAUGUGCCUGGCAAUGAAAAGAGAUGCUGCAGGAGAGCUUUGCGUCCUAUUAGCUUGUUGGUGAGGUGACGGCUCACCAAGGCGAUGAUAGGUAGCCGGCCUGAGAGGGUGAACGGCCACAAGGGGACUGAGAUACGGCCCUUACGCCUACGGGAGGCAGCAGUGGGGAAUAUUGGAAAAUGGGGGCAACCCUGAUCCAGCAAUUCUGUGUGCACGAAGAAGGUUUUCGGAUUGUAAAGUGCUUUCAGCAGGGAAGAAGAAAGUGACGGUACCUGCAGAAGAAGCGACGGCUAAAUACGUG
rnacentral:rRNA from 1 species